UGAAGAAGGCGCUGCCGGCAAACGCGAAGAUCUUGAAGUACGCGAAGGAGACGGUGCAGGAGUGCGUGUCAGAGUUCAUCAGCUUCAUCACCGACGAGGCCUCCGACAAGUGCCAGCGCGAGAAGCGCAAGGCGAUCAACGGCGACGACCUGCUCUGGGCGAUGACCACUCUGGGCUUCGAGGACUACGUGGAGCUUCUCAAAGGCUACCUCUAGCGCUUCCAAGGAAUGGAAGGAGAGAAGACCGUGGCUCCCUUCCCAGAAACUCUCACACCCUUCCUUACCAAGGAUCAAAAUGUGGGGUUACCUUCCCAGAGCUCUGCCGCAUAGGAUGCCACUGUUGACGCUGGUUCUUGUUAGGGUUCCGCCCUUUGGUUACUCUUUUAAGGAUGUCUGCGGUGGUGGUUGUGGAUUCGCCAUGGCUAUCUCUGCUUGAAAUGAGAACUUGAGAGUAAGAAUCUAACCUCACUGGACUCAGUUCAAUAGCUGGAGCUGCAUACUGAUGUUGUUCUUGGCAUAGUUCUUUGUGUGCCCUCGAGUGUGGUGGAGAUAUAUUUUAUGUUGGCUUGAAUAUCAUUUUUCUGUACAUAUGUCAACUUCCUAUUGAUCAGAUGCUACUCCAUGAGGAAGGAGUAGCAUUUCACUUCAGUUGUACAUUGAAGGAUAUGUCAAAGCCAUGCUGGAUUCACUUUAUAGACAAGAAUACCUUAGAGUCAGAGUUAUUGACAAUCAGGUAAUAGUUGAGCUAAGUGCGCAUAAGUUGGUCAGGUAUGCAUAAAAGAUUAUCUUUCAAGUUUGACUAUAUCUGGAAAAAAUGCAUUGCAUGCCUUAGAAGAACACUAGCUCGUUCUUUUGAAUUAAUUUAAGCACGGAACCUUGUUUUGAGAAUGUUCGCAACUUGUUGUGUACGUUAUGCAGUGAUCUUGUUUUGAGAAUGUAUCCCGUUUUUUUUAUAUAUAUUUAUGAUCUUGUGCUAAAUAGCUUCCCAAAGUAAUACUUCUCUGCAUUCCCGGAAUGCACUAUUUUAGUUUGGAAGCACCUCAAAUGUAAUAUAUGAUGAUCUUAUAUACCAUUGUAAGUUUGCUUAACAUUGAGUGCUUGACUUGUUUGGAAAUCUGCAUACUUCUUGAUAUAGAAUCACCAAUGGCAUAAAUCCGUAAGUAGUAGUUUUGCCAAUUAUAUGUGUAAAGUUAUUGAUGCUUGAACUAUAUAUGUGAAAUUUAAUAAAGUCUCUGAAUUUUCAUUUAUUCUAAUUCCUAUUUUUUCUAAUUUUUAUAAAAAAAUUGGAAUAUAUAAAUCACAAAUGCCGUGCAUUCGAAGAAAUAUUAACUUGAAAACAAUAUAAUAUGCAACUUUUCUUUCAUCCCAAUAAGUUAUAAGUGCUCUUAUUAAAAUAAAUUAGUGUCUUGUACUCUUGGAACUCGAUCCUCUUUCAUGAUAUUAAAAAUGUAGGAAAUGAAUGCCAAAAAUGUAAUGCACUUUUGCUUGCGUGUUUUGUACGUGCAUUGUUUCAAAAAUCAGAUCCAGACAUUCAUCGGGGGGGAUCUGAUUUUUUUUAAUUUUUAGAUAUUUAACUUCUAACAAAUAAUAAUUUUUA